rnacentral:misc_RNA from 1 species
UAACCCUCAUCCAUGUGGUGUCAAAGCCGCAUGAAUGGACUUGGACGCUGCCGUAGCCGGCUCGUCUUGAAAUACAUUAGCUGUGCGCCCAUUAGUGUGCUCGGUGCUGCCGUGAUAAUUUCCUCGGCUCGCCUUAGGCCACUUCCAGUGACGCUGCUUCCAAUGGUCCCUCGCGGACAACUGACAUAAAG